UACGUAGGGGGCACGCGUUGUCCGGAUUUAUUGGGCGUAAAGAGCGUGUAGGCGGUUUGGUAGGUCCGCUGUGAAAACUCGAGGCUCAACCUCGAGACGCCGGUGGAAACCAUCAGACUAGAGUCCGGAAGAGGAGAGUGGAAUUCCUGGUGUAGCGGUGAAAUGCGCAGAUAUCAGGAAGAACACCCGUGGCUAAGGCGGCUCUCUAGUACGGUACUGACGCUGAGACGCGAAAGCGUGGGGAGCAAACAGG
rnacentral:rRNA from 1 species